GGGGAAUAUUGCACAAUGGGGGAAACCCUGAUGCAGCAACGCCGCGUGAAGGAUGACGGUUUUCGGAUUGUAAACUUCUUUUCUUAGUGACGAAGACAGUGACGGUAGCUAAGGAAUAAGCAUCGGCUAACUACGUGCCAGCAGCCGCGGUAAUACGUAGGAUGCAAGCGUUAUCCGGAUUUACUGGGUGUAAAGGGAGCGCAGGCGGGACUGCAAGUUGGAUGUGAAAUACCGUGGCUUAACCACGGAACUGCAUCCAAAACUGUAGUUCUUGAGUGAAGUAGAGGCAAGCGGAAUUCCGAGUGUAGCGGUGAAAUGCGUAGAUAUUCGGAGGAACACCAGUGGCGAAGGCGGCUUGCUGGGCUUUAACUGACGCUGAGGCUCGAAAGUGUGGGGAGCAAAC
rnacentral:rRNA from 1 species